UAGGAUUUGCUGAAGGAGGCAGAG
rnacentral:piRNA from 4 species